UGUCCAUGAAGUUGCAUGUAAAUAAACUUCUUUCACUUUAUAUUAUGAUUAAAAGUUUGAGAUUCUAACCAGAUUUUUGAAAUUGGAGACUGAAGAAUUCUCAUUUCAGGAAUGGACCAAAUAAUUGUUGUAACUCACAGAUUAAUAGUGAUGACUGAGUCGAAAACCUUUCCUUCUGAAGGUCAGAUUUAGCUUUUAUAACGUAGUUUCUAUAAAUUCUCCAUUGUUCGAUCUUUUUUGUCGGUUUCACAGUGUUUCAAAUUCUCUGAUUCUCGAGUUCUUGACUAGGAUAAUUGUGCUUUUUCAUAGAGGAUAUGGGACUAGUAGCAAGUGUGAGCGCAAUUAUUUCCUCAACUAUCUUUUCAAGUUUUUCAAUCAUAAACUAUUUAACAUAUUAAACAAAAAAUCAUGUUUGCUUUCUCUAUCAGUUGCUACUAAUUCAAUUAAAUUGGCAGUCGUAUUUUCAAUUCUUUUUGAAUCCCUUUAGCUUAUAUAACUGGAGAGCGAUCAGCCAUGUAAAUAUCAAGUAUGGUAUAAAAAGUACAUCCCUUGGCAUUGACUAAACACUUAUCUGUAUCUUUUAAUGUGUUCUCGGUGCGUUGAUCUAACAUUUUGAAAUUUUUAAUUGUACUAAAGCGAAUCUAGACUUGAUGUUAUUUUGUUAUUAUUUUUGAAUGUAUAAGGAGAUGGGUAUCGUCAAAUCUGAUAAAAAUCAUGUAUCUGCUGUUUCAUUUUAUCGAUUACUUGGACACAAGUCAUCCAAUGAUUUCUAUGAUAGUUUUUGUUUCUUGAAUGAAUUUAUUAACUGGCAGUUUUUGUUGCUUUCAAUGCUAAGUCCAGUAUUUCACAAAAAAUGGGACGGAGACACUUGGUGUCUGUCCUAGCUUGAGACAAACCUGAAUGAUUGAAAGUUCUGAAGAAUUUAAGGAACUUUCUGAAAGACUACAAUCUACUGCUGUCAACCCCUUAAAAAAUGACAUGCUCAAAUAGGGUAAUAACAUGAAUUAUUCUAACAGAACUCUAAUUGAUUGGUGGUCAUGGAAGGUCAAUUUGCCACCAAAGAUUAGUGGUUUUUACUAGCUAGCACUAGAAAAUUUAUGUCUCAAGGGAGCAGUUUACUUAGGAGAUGGAUUUACAAAUGACAAUCUUCAUGUGUUUGGCUUGGACAAGUCUGUGUUUGGCAGAAUCGGUGGUAUUUCACCAGCCACGGAUAUGUUAUGUUUUGUAAAGUGUACUGAGAAUUAUUUAGGGGAAAGGAUAGAAACGACACUUCAAAUUAAACUAUUUCCAUGAAAAUGGCCAUGGAAUUUAAAUUUCACUUUCUAUCCAUUUCAAUUUACUGGCUUGUUCUAUACUAUUUCUACACACCUUCUAUAUAAUUUCUAUACAAAUCUUACAUAUAUAAAUAUUCUAUACGAAAAUUAUACAGUUAUGAUACACAAUUUAUACAAUAAUUGUACUUUUUUUUUUUUUACACAUUCUAUACAACAAUUAUAUAAUUUUCAUACACUUUCUAUAUAUUUUUUAAAUAUAUAUUUUAUACAUAUACAUAUUUGAUAGAAUUAUACAAUUUCUAUACAUAUAUCUUAUAUAGAUACAUAUUCUAUUUAACAAUUAUAUCAUUUUUAUAUAAUUUAAUUAUUAUUUCUAAAUAAUAAAAAAAGUAGAAUAUUUGAUCAGUUAAAAAAUUUAUAGCAAAAAAAAAUUAAAAUAUUUUUAAAAGGGUCAAAUUGCCCAAGUUGAAUAAUGUAUCAAUAUUGUAUAUAAACUGUAUCAGUAUUGUAUAUGGAUUGUAUAUGGAUUACGUAGGCCAAAAUGACAAAUUAGGAAAUGACUUAAAGCGGAAAUAGUAUAUCCGAAUGGACACUUUUUGGAAAAUUUUCAAAUUAAACUUGAGCUAUUUGUUUUAAAAAGUGUUAGAGUGUCUUUUUUCCCAAUUAUUUAAUGGUGAUGUGUGACGUUGGGGCGUUGAAUAUCCUUUCUUCGUUGUUGUGGUAUAGUUACUAGGGCCUUACAUAGUUGUCGUAAUAUGAUAGGGGCAUUAUACAUGUCGUCGUAGUACAUUUUGGGGUAUAUAUAUAUAUAUAUAUUGUGAACUUGUCGGCAUGCUAGGUUGAUCACCUUCACUGUUGUUUAUGACAAGUCAUAAAGCAUUUAUUGGACCUUAUUGAGCUUUAUAUUAUUAGAUAUAUUUUGUGCAUACUAUUUUAUUAAUCUAAUUUAUAACACUGGUUCCAGAGAUAUUGAAGUAGCAGGUCGAAGAUUUUAGUUGAUUAUAUUUAUAUAUAGCUCACUCUUUACCUGCAUGUCUAUGCAGAUAUCGUUACGGAGAGCGAAACUAGUGACUGGCAAGUCUGUACAUAGAUUUUAUUGCUGAGGUGACCCGCCGCAUUGUUUUGUGGAGGACACUACUUCAGCCUUCUUUGUUUAGAGUCUUUUAUUUCUUUCCUUGGAUUUGCAUAGCCGACAGUUGAAGUCAUGGAAUUCUAUUAAAUGCUCCAUGGUAUUAAUAAGGAAUUUGGGGUGGAUAAAUAGUUUUCAAGUAAUUGUUGAAUUAUUAUAUUGAUUAUCAAAUCUUGGUUUACUAUCCUCCAUUUGUUGUUUAGUAUUGAUGUGUUUCGAGUUGCACAUAUCUUAACUUAGUGCUUAUUGAAAUGGUAAACUGUAUGAAAAAUUAAUUUUUUGUACAGGUAGUCUGCUAGCGGAUGUCAGUCACAUCUAG
rnacentral:lncRNA from 1 species